UUUGCCUCUAUACAAUUUUAACAAGAAGGCAUUGGAUCCGGAUCUAACGAUCCAAAGCAUCUAUCUAUGACCAACUCAUAAUUUAUGUUUUAGAGGUAUCACAACUCAAUUGGGAUUAGUCACUACCUUGCAACAUUUUGGGUUUUAAGCAUCGUUAUAUUCUAAACAGUUAACACUACCAUAUCAUCUCUACUAUAGAGAUAAUCAAUUAGAUUAUAAUAAUCUAAUCAUUCAUUAAUAAAGAACAAUGUUUUGUCAAACACAACAUUCAUCCAUCUCUCAUAGUGACGGAAUUAAGUUCCUUAAAAUUGGAAUGUAAAGACAAUCUUUGGUUUUUCCAAUUUCUUUGGUAGUUCAUAUGAGGAAGUAAGUAUGAUCUACUUUCGCAGAGAUCUACAUUUGAUUCACGUUCCGAAUGUGAAGUACUUUCUCUUCUCUCAUUAAUCUUCUA
rnacentral:lncRNA from 1 species